CCAGAGGGAGGUUAAUUAGUUUGAAGUCAUUCUCUCAAUUUCUUUGAAGUUUCCAACAGAUUAAACAAAGCCUACUCUAUAUAUAAUAUACCAAUCAAAGCUUCAACCUACUCACACAGACAGUAUUGCUGGCGGAGGCAAUGUCUCUUGAUAAGAGUUUUGAUGCAUCAUCUGCAGAUAUAAUCACCAUGGUUCUAAAGAAGUCGCAAUACGAGGUGCUGCUACUGUUGCCCAUCGUGCUGCUGCUUCUACUGUCUUUCGUGCUGCUGCUGCCACUGUCUGUCGUGCUUCUGCUACUGUGGCCGAGAUGUGACAACUUGGUGAUCCUUACCAGCCGCCGGCACAGUUCUGGUCUAAGAAGGCUUUUCACAGUUAUAAGGAGAAAAUCUAGUUCUAUAUCUGUACUGUAUAAGAAUUAUAAGCAAAUGUUGUUGAGCCAUCACGAUGCCGUCAAGGCUGUAAAUGGUUGAAAUCCAGAUUGAAAUAUAUUUAGAGACGUUCCCUUGA